UUGUACCAAGAGAGAGUCUGGACUAAGUCUUCGAACCUGAAUUGCCAUUACAUUAAAAGGAACAUUGUUUUAUAAACCAAAUUGUAAACAUGGAUCCCCGUUUAAAAGCGGCUUUGCUUUUUCAAGACAAAAUUAUACGGCGGUGCACACUACCAUGCCGGGACAAGGUACAUUGUCACCCGGACUUGGCUUCCUCCCUACAACUGUGAGCCACUUCAAUC